ACGUAGGUGGCAAGCGUUAUCCGGAUUUACUGGGCGUAAAGGGUGCGUAGGCGGUCUUUCAAGUCAGAAGUGAAAGGCUACGGCUCAACCGUAGUAAGCUUUUGAAACUGUAAGACUUGAGUGCAGGAGAGGAGAGUGGAAUUCCUAGUGUAGCGGUGAAAUGCGUAGAUAUUAGGAGGAACACCAGUUGCGAAGGCGGCUCUCUGGACUGUAACUGACGCUGAGGCACGAAAGCGUGGGGAGCAAACAGGAUUAGAUACCCUGGUAGUCCACGCCGUAAACGAUGAGUACUAGCUGUCGGAGGUUACCCCCUUCGGUGCCGCAGCUAACGCAUUAAGUACUCCGCCUGGGAAGUACGCUCGCAAGAGUG
rnacentral:rRNA from 1 species